UCUAUAGAACUGGAUCAAACCAGGGGCAACCCACCACCGAAUAGCUACAAAAAACAACAGAAGAAGAAUCUAACCAAACCACAUUAGCAAUUAUGGCAAAAGACGAGUAACCAAUAGAUCAUAAGAGAUUGGAGAAUAUGGAUAGCCAGGGAGGCUUCAGAUAUGCAACUGAAAAAAGACCAUGCAAUGCCGAAUCCUCUGCCAUCUUCCACAAGAAAGCAAAUUUCUAAACAUUAGCAAGAGAAACUUUGAAAAGUAAAGCAGGAAGCUAAUACUUUCGUGACAUCAUGUCUUACUAGAAAGUUCUUAAAGUCUUUAAUCUACAUUUAGUACUUACUCUGUUGCUCAAUCUUCUGCAUUUUUCUUUUUCUGUAUUUCACUAUUUUAAGAACAAAAAUAAUUUUAAAAAAGAAUUUAGAAGUGUCUUUCACAGGAAAAAAAUAUAAAUCUCUGAAAACUGUAAGACAGAUUUUGGCAGUUCAUUAGCUAAUUGAUUCCUGUGUAUCAACCAUGAAGCAUUUUGCAUGAAAAAUCAAGUCUUUUAGAAUCUAAAUUUACAAUAAAGCAUUUGUGUUCCAGGUGUU